rnacentral:rRNA from 1 species
CGGACGGGUGAGUAACACGUGGGUAACCUGCCUAAAAGAAGGGGAUAACACUUGGAAACAGGUGCUAAUACCGUAUAUCUCUAAGGAUCGCAUGAUCCUUAGAUGAAAGAUGGUUCUGCUAUCGCUUUUAGAUGGACCCGCGGCGUAUUAACUAGUUGGUGGGGUAACGGCCUACCAAGGUGAUGAUACGUAGCCGAACUGAGAGGUUGAUCGGCCACAUUGGGACUGAGACACGGCCCAA